AAACCUUGCUGGUUUGGGGCGGGGGGAGGGGGGGAGGAGGACUUAUUUUGCUAGAGACACCUUCUGGACAUGGACAUAUGAAGGGAAAACUCACGGUGUCUAAUGUCGCAUCUGUCUGAUGACUUAUUUGUUGUCCCAUUUUUCCUCAGAUUACGGACUGCUGUCUUGAGAUAGGUACUGGCAUUGCCUUUGCCUUUCAGUGUCUCGGUUAUUGUAAACCUUUGGGCCACCUCGCUGAGUUGAGGGUCAUCAACCCUGCAAAUCCCUCUCGCUUUUGAAGUUUUGGAGGGUUUUUUUUUUUCUGUGUGUGUGUGAAUUUUCAGUGCUGAGUAGCAAAAGCCAAAUGUAAUGCCCUAACAUUUUUCCGAAGUCAUUGGGUCAAAAGAGGGUGUAAGUUGUGAAACUUUUUUCUUAUGUAAUCUCUCAAAAAAUGCCCCGGGACUUUUUAACCCUGAAAAACCUCCAUGGUCUUACACAAAUUAGUGAUUUUUUGAGCGGCACCCCAAAUUUCAGUAUUAACGUACAGGUAAAAAUGUUUAGGGCCUGGAAACCUGUGUAUACAAUGGGGUCCCAAUCAGGGUGCUUGGAUAAAGCUGCCUCUAAAACAAGACCAAAAAGACCUUCCCUGCCUCCACCCAAUAUCUUCUCUUUCAUCUGAAGUAAAGAGUCAGAGGGAGUUGCUGGCAAUCUUCCCAGGUGGCAAGCACAGAUCCCAGAAGGGCAGUUAGGGCUUGGGCUUAUCAGAAAAAUGUGGGUCUGGGUCUUCCAGUUACAAAGAUUUGAAGCAGAGAAAGAAACAGAAAAGGAUGACACCCUACCCCUAAGUCAGCAAUUCUCAACCUGUGGGUCUCAGACACCUGGGAGGGCCAAAAUUUCCUGACCCAGGUGCCAGGGACCACUUCACAUGACAGGAAGACAAAUGGCUAACAACAGCACACAGAAGGAGUCACCUACCAGCAGAAUCCUGAGAAACUGGUAGAAUUUUAAUCAAUGAAGUUAACUAGAGUGAGUACAGGCCUUUUUGGGAGAUGAGACAAAACAACAGAAACAAAAUCAAGAAAGCAGAAAACUUUCUGGGUCAAACUUCCCCCUCAUUCAUAGCCAUUCAUACAGUUGGCCAGCCAUUUUUUUCAAGCAAAAUCGAAACCAUAUGUCUCGUUCAGUACAGAACCCGGAUACAGGAAUUCCGUUAUUGGCCUCCAAACUUAGUGUGGGAGGACUGUGUUGAGUGUAGGAUAAGAAAACAUUCAAGUAAGCAUAACCACGCAAUGAUUGAAAACACAGUCUAAGAUCAACACAUGAGAAAUAUUUGGAAAUUAGUAAGAGGAUACUACAGCAAUCCUAAGUAGUUCUAAAGGCUGAUUGCUUGAUAAACUAUGUUAUAUUGUUAUAGCAAAAUAUCCAAUGUGGGCUGUUUGUUGAAAAGAUUUAUUCAUAGUUUGAGAGACUGAAAUUCCAAGAUUGGGUAGCAAUAUCUGACUCACUUCUAGUGGCUAUGUCACAAUCUGACCGAAGGCCGAGAGGGAAAUAGUCUGAUGCAAAGGAGCCCAACAAACAUUUGUGGUGGGCUUGCUUUAUAACCAUCUGCUCUUGAGAGGAUGGCUUGUUCUCCCUAAGACCACCAUCGAUCCCUCUCCAGCCAGUACCUACAUGUUAUUCACUAUCCCCUCCCUCUCAAAGGUUCUGUCACCCCAACACAACCCGGGACUAGUCUCUCUUUUGUAAAAUCACUCAAACCAUACUAAAGCCAUAGUUAGAAAAUUUGCUGUGACCAUGAUUCUCUAACACUGGUGUAGAGAAGAAACAUCCAUAUGGCUUACUUUAAAACUAUAAAUUCCUGAAUUCUACCACAAAGAUUCUAACUCUGGUGUAGAGCCUGUGACUAUGCAUUCCCCAAUAUCCAAAUGAGCUAAUGCAGGUAACACUGUGCGUUAAGAGUCUCUUUAGCUACAUGAUGAGAAUCUGUUUUCAAACAAAACAAAAAUGAAAAGAAGUGUAAAACUCUGGUUAAUAAUGUAGGGAAUAUAAGAGAAAUGAAGUAAUCUCUUCCAGGGGUGUAUUCCAAGGGGGAGAGGUAAUACAAUACAACAUGUCUCCUAGGCACAAAUCAAGAGGACUUGAAGCCUAUCUUCAGUAAAAUCUGAAGUUACAAAAGGAAGCUUGGUGUCAAGGAUGGGACUUAUCACCCUGACCUUUCCCGGAAUGACCACCCUGCUAAAUAAAGCCCUUCAUAAGUAUCUCAAAAUGCUGAGGAGUUUGUGGUUGCAGCCAUGCCUUUAUGGUUCCUGUUCUAGUUGGCUGAAGAUGCAUUCAUGGUGGCUUAAGGACUCCAUUUAGAAUCAUUUAGAAUCUAUUUUAUAACAGGGUCAGGGAGCAUCACAGAAGAAGAAGCUGAUUUCAAGAGCCAGAGGCUGCUGAGGACUUCUGGGAAGCAAUGUUUCUCAAUGACAAGGUUAUUGCACAUAAGAACUCACAGUGGUUGUGACUGCAUGAAUAAGACUACAUAGCCAAAAUGUCAGUAUUGAUGUGGGAGGUACUCAUGAAGUCACACCCUUAGCUGAGGAACUAUUGACAAUUGAUGGCUGCUGGGGAAGAGCCAAUUUUUUUCAGGUGCCUGUGCUCUAGUAGAUGGUCCAAUACUCUUUCACUUACUGGCAACAUUGAAUGAAUUCAACAGGAUUAAAAAAGAACACAUGAAGUCUAUUCUCUAAUAGAUUCUAUUAUUGUAUAUAGUUUGUGCAUGUUUAUGAAUAAAAUAUGGUAUGU